rnacentral:rRNA from 1 species
AUUGAACGCUGGCGGCAGGCCUAACACAUGCAAGUCGAGCGAGCGGCGGACGGGUGAGUAAUGUCUGGGAAACUGCCUGAUGGAGGGGGAUAACUACUGGAAACGGUAGCUAAUACCGCAUACCAUCUGAGAUGCCCAGAUGGGAUUAGCUAGUGGGUGGGGUAAUGGCUCACCAAGGCGACGAUCCCUAGCUGGGCUGAGAGGAUGACUAGCCACACUGGAACUGAGACACGGUCCAGACUCCUACGGGAGGCAGCAGUGGGGAAUAGUGCACAAUGGGCGCAAGCCUGAUGCAGCCAUGCCGCGUGUAUGAAGAAGGCCUUCGGGUUGUAAAGUACUUUCAGCGGGGAGGCGUUACCCGCAGAAGAAGCACCGGCUAACUCCGUGCCAGCAGCCGCGGUAAUUC